GGGGAUGUGGCUCAGUGGUAGAGCACAUGCCUAGCAUGUGUGAGGCACUUGGUUCGACUCUCAGCACCA
rnacentral:tRNA from 1 species